rnacentral:lncRNA from 1 species
GUCGGAUGUAACAAUGAACACAACAGUCGUCAUUUACUCAUGACAUCUGAGGACUAUGUUUAUUUUUAAAAAGAAUGCGCCCCGAUAUACCGAAAUGCUUCUAUGUUCGCGCGAAUCAUUCGUGAUCCAGCUUCACCUACAGAAAAAGUGAGUAUAAGGUUUUUUUAAUGAAUCUUUGCAAAUCGCCUUUCCUAAUAAUGUGCUAAUUAGCAAGUUUCACGAUGAAUGUGGCUAUAGUAAACAGUCCCUCAAAGAGCAGCUGAGGAAGAGUGGGGCGGGGUCAGCAGAGCUCAUUAACAUUUAAAGGAAAAUGCUACAAAAUGGCUUGCUCUGAAAAGAGCUGUUUUUGACAGGGUAAAAAGGGUGUUGUUUUACACUACCAUUGAGAAAUGUUAACCAAACUAUAGUUACAGACUUUUCAUUAAGACCCUAAAGAAUCAUAUCAACUUGUAUAUACUAACUUGUAGGUAAAGUGGUCUUAUUUUUUUUUUUUUCUAGUUUUGUGCAUUAUUGUGGUGUGAUAAUUUAGUGAGAAUAAUCCUAUUAGCAUUAUGAAUUUGCCCUUCUUACUUUAUAAAUGUGUGAUGUUCUGUAAAGGCUAACUUCUGUUUGAAUUGCAGCUGAAUUCAGUAAAAUAUGCCUGAACGUGAGCCUGAAUGUCAGAAUAAAUCCAAACCUAACCUACGAAACAUUUGUCCUGGCUUUCUUUCACAGUGUCUUUCCGAAGCAUAAUAAGACCUACAGGACUCUUAAACCCACCUGUGAUGAAUCAAACAGACCCACACCUGAGUGCUGAGGUAAUGUCAGACUGCUGAAACCAUCAAAACAUCUGAUGAAGAGACACAGACAGGAUAUGCACUCAUUUCCUGACCACUCACCAUCUUUCAGAGGUCUGAAGAACACUUGCUUUCCUUCCCCUCUUAUAGAGUUACUGUACACCCCUAAUCUGUGCAGUCGUCAAAGCCAUAACUAUUCUUUUAACGUAACUCUUUUACUCUGUGGAUUUGGAAAUGCGAUAAACAGUUUGAAGUUAUGGCAUAUUCCCGCUGUAUUUAAGCGCAGUGCAGUGCAGUCUCAGUGCAGGCAGAUGUGAGCAUUUAUCCGCUUUUCCUGUGUGAGCACUUUAACUCCCUUCAGCAUGAGGGGCAGGAAGAGAGAAUGGAGGAAACAUUAGCAAAUCAAAGAACGCUACCCUUUAACCCCUCUCCAUCCUUCUGAUCAAAGUUAGCCUUGAACUCUGACCUUUGUGUAAAAUAGAAAAAAAAAGUUACAAAAAAAAAGAAAUACAUGUGAAACUCAAGAACAAAGCACUCGGUCAUUUUGGAAAGGCCAGAUAUUCCCUAGGUACUUUUUCUCACGGAACCAGAAUAUAAAUUAUGUUGUCUUCACAAGUCCCCUCCAGUGUGAGUUUCUCCUCCACUCAUUUUGGUUUGUGUGUCUCUCAGAGUGUCACAGCAAAGUAUCAUUUUUUCUCUUCUGACCUAAAUCUUGAUAAGGGUUCUGUUGUAAUGUACAUACUCAAAAGUAGGCCUACCUUCACAAUUUAAUUCUGAUAGGCCUAUUUUAAAAGGAAAGUUUAACCAAAAAUUCAGAUACUAUUAACUUCCAUUUUAUGAAACAAAAAGCAAUGAAAGUGAACAAUGACUGAGUCUCACAGUCCCUCGAAUUCGGCCUAACAUGAAGAACCUCAUACGGGUUUGCAAUAACAUGAGCGAGUACAUAAGGUUUUUAGAUACAGUAACGAGCUUUAAUCAAAUUCUUUUCCCAAUUGUGUUUCCAUGCAUUGCCACAAGAUGGCAAUGUUGUACUGUCAACCAUUAACCACGCGUCUCCUGUGCCCGAUUCUCGACACUUCCACGAUUUCUUUUCUUUUCCACAAAUCACAGACACUCUCUUAGUCGUUGAAGUAUGCACAAAAUAUGCACACAUUUUAGCAGUUGUCAUAAUCACCAUGAGCUGAAACUCUUAUUUCUCAAUUUCUUAUAGGUCAAACUGAAAUGGAAAACUAAUAAUAAUGGUAAUAAUGGUUUUCAUUUUGGUGUCAUUUAAGAACACAACACAAUUGCCUUCUUGCAGUCUGACCUUGACGCGAAAAAAAUAUAUAUCCUAACGCGUCUCCUGUGCCCGAUUCUCGACACUUCCACGAUUUCUUUCUUUUCCACAAAUCACAGACACUCUCUUAGUCGUUGAAGUAUGCACAAAAUAUGCACACAUUUUAGCAGUUGUCAUAAUCACCAUGAGCUGAAACUCUUAUUUCUCAAUUUCUUAUAGGUCAAACUGAAAUGGAAAACUAAUAAUAAUGGUAAUAAUGGUUUUCAUUUUGGUGCAUUAAGAACACAACACAAUUGCCUUCUUGCAGUCUGACCUUGACGCGAAAAAAAAUAUAUAUAUCAUGGUGUACGAAUUUACGGCAUUUUAUCAAAACUAGGCCUACCCGACAGUGUUAAUAGACAUUUUCUUUUAAUAAACAUAGGCUAGGCCUAUAUAAAUAUAUGUUGACAUGCGGCCUUAUGGUUUGAAACUGAUAAAAGUAGCCUACUGGGUGAAUUAUCUCACGUGACAAGAACUUUGCUUUACAUUAUGAUUUAUUUUAUGUUUCAGUUCAUUUAAAUUAUAUGGUUAGUACUCAUCAACGACAGCGUGAUUUAUGUGGACAUCUGUUUUACAAAUCAAAUUGAAUUUGUCGCUGUCAGCAAUAGGAUUAGUUAUAUUAUAUAAAGGUUAAUGUAAGCAUUUUUAUCAGGUUAUCGUAAAUACAGGCUACGUUUUUUUUUUUUUUAAGAUUUGCAAAUUAGAUUUUUUUUUCAUGCACAUAGCCUACACACAUGCACACGAAGCUAUAUUUAAGUGAUGCACAAAACGCGUUUUAAUAUCGCAUUAAGUAAUAGGUCUGUUUCUUAUUUGGACACAUGAAAAUACACCGUUUCCACUGAGACUGAUUGUGUAGUUUCUGCCACUUUAAACUGCUGUGUGGGAAUAUAAAUAUCCAGGGACCCAGGGGGAGCAGAAUUCCCCUCUGCCUGACCAACGCUGGAUCGGACGGGACUCUACACUUCCUCUGUCCGCUGUCUGUGGAGGAUGCAAUUUAGCUCUAGUAGCUACAAUAUCCAUUUCCCUUGCAUACAUGUGCUCAUUUUUGCACAUUUCUAAAAUAUCAUAAAGCUUUAUAGUUGCAUUCUAAAUCUAAAACAAAACUGCUGUUGUGUGAAAAAUGAAAAACACAUCGUGCUCCUAUGUAAAAUGGUUUUGCGCUCCCAGCAUUUACUUCUGUAUUUAAGUUAUUACUGUCGUUUUAUAUCGAAUCUGACAAAGCAGCUGUUAAACUGUUUGGCUCUGUACUAUCCAGUUUUGUUUGAUGCGUUUACCGUCGUUUAUAUAUCAGAACAGAUGUUUUAUGGAUUAUAAAUCUGUAACGUUACAUGACUUUUUAUCAGCAAUGGCGUUUUUUAAAUACAAUAUAUGCAUCAUUAAAUGUAUUAAAUAAUUUAAUCAUAUUAGUAAUAUUUUUUUUAUUAGCCCAUUAGUUGAUAACAAUUAAUCUGUUGACAAAUCUGCGACAAAGGUCAGAAUUUGCUCUAACGUAUUUUUUACUAAAUCUUAUGACACUAUUUUGACACUAAUUAUUCAUUUUCUCACAUCAGUUAUCAAACAAAUCACAUGGGCUAAUGUCUCUCGUACAUAAAAACGAUUAUUUCGAUGACAGGGGAUCUCUGUUGUCUACUUCAUCAUGGUCUUAAUUCUAUUCAAACGUGUUUAAAGUAAAGAAUAAUAUCCCAAUAUUACCGCGGCUGCUUGGCUUUGUUUCAUAUUACAAAAGUAUGUAAAAGUUAUUUUUCUUUACCUGGAUGUAAACAGACGCUCACGAACAGAAACAGCGUUCGCCUAGCAGGUAACCAUAGCAACAGUAGGCUGCUUGAGUAGUUACUUUGUGUCAGGAUCAUUAUCGAUAUUUCAACAAAAAAGAAUAUAGAAACACUGUCAUUAUUUAUCACUUUAUUAUAUUUACAUUUCUCAAAAAAUGCUGCCGUGUUCGGUUUAAAAAAAAAAAAAUCUUUAGGAUAGUUGAUAUUCGCUUAACUGUGUCAGGGGCGCCAAAAUACAACUUGAACAGCUCGAGACGAACCUCAACACCCCGAAAUUUCCUUGAAAAAUUCCUCUUAAAAGUCCAACCCUUGAACGUUUUUAAACACUAGCUCAUCUAUAGACUGGUAUUUAAACAAACUUGCUGUGCUUUUUCUAAAAUAAUCUCACAAUAUUUAAAAAUAAUAAUAAUAAUAAUAAACCUACGCGUUCAUGUGACUUUAUUAUAUUUACAUUUACUACAAAAAUGCUGCCGUAGUUACGUUAAAAAAAAAAAUACUUUAGGAUAGUUGAUAUUCGCUUAACUGUGUCAGGGCGCCAAAUACAACUUGAACAGCUCGAGACGAACCUCAACACCCCGAAAUUUCCUUGAAAAAUUCCUCUUAAAAGUCCAACCCUUGAACGUUUUUAAACACUAGCUCAUCUAUAGACUGGUAUUUAAACAAACUUGCUGUGCUUUUUCUAAAAUAAUCUCACAAUAUUUAAAAAAUAAUAAUAAUAAUAAUAAACCUACGCGUUCAUGUGAACCUCAACGAUUUGGCUUCACUCGCGCGCUCUGGUAGGCAGUUGCUGUGUGACAUUUAACGCGCGGCCGCUAACUUUUUUUCUGGUUUUCUCCAAACAAGCCGCUCGCUAAGUGGGCAGGGCGGGCUGUGAUAUCUAAUUAGGCGACGGGCUUCGUGGUUGGGUAGACAGCUAAUGGUAGUUCGGCUCUACUUAUGUUUGGGGGGCGGCUCUGCGUGCGCAGUCACUCCCUCCUCCUCUUCCUCCUCCCUUUGGGGUUAGUUUGCUUGUGUUUAGUUCCCAGAGACAGUCAAAUCGGAUUCCUUUGGGAAAGGACACAAAUCACUCCCGUUUGAACAAGGGGAACAGCGAAGGAGCUGUCUCCACAAGGGUCCACCUCUCCUGGUUGAUUUCAUAUUGCUCAUUCAUGUGAUUUGAUCAGAGAAUACUCUUUGUGGAGAAAGACAGGAAAGGAAAGGAGGAGAAAAUAAAGAAAAAAAAAGUCUCUGGAUGAUGACAUUUGAUCUAACCCUCAGCGAAGCCCGUUCUUGAUCCUAUUGUUUCUUAAAGUGACAUUAGACUUUUUUUUGCGCACGCUAGACCAAAGGGACCUCCAGUCUAAUCUUGCAGUUUUUGUUUGUUUGUUUGUUGCACGGUGUUCCCAAACCUGGAUGUUGACAUCUCGCGUUUCUUUUGGCACGUCGCUCUAUUUUCAGUUUCAGAGAGGAAGCGCUAAUAGAGACAAACGCGGUGACACCUGCUCACCCAUACACUUCUCCUUGCUUUUUUUUUAACGGAGCGAUCAAAAGAAGCAAGCGCCGACAGAGAC